rnacentral:lncRNA from 1 species
UUCCUGGUGCGGAUGUGUUAAAAUAUUGGCUUAAUGUCACAGAAAUUGAAUCUGUACAAAAUGUAUUGUAGAGUGAUCAUUUGAGCACUUUCAUGACUUUUUUUUAUUUUAUUAUUUUUUCUGUUGAUAAUUUGAACUUAGAUUUAAGUGAAUUGUUAUUAUUAUUAACAGUUAACAUAGAAAGUUUUUAACGACCUUGACUUGCUUUAUAGCCCUCCACUGUUGGUAAAGGCAUUUCUAGUACUGAUAGUUCAUACUUUAAAGUUU